GAUGACUGCCUUGUGGUGGCCAAGCUUUCAUAGCUUUCGAUGUCGGCUCUUCUUAUCAUUGUGAAGCAGAAUUCACCAAGUGUUGGUUUCUUCGCCCCCUAAAAGAGAAUGUGAGUUGGGUUUAGACUAUGAGACAGGUU